UACGUAGGGGGGCAAGCGUUGUCCGGAAUUAUUGGGCGUAAAGCGCGUGUAGGCGGCUCGGUAAGUCUGCUGUGAAAGUCCAAGGCUCAACCUUGGAAUGCCGGUGGAUACUGUCGAGCUCGAGUCCGGAAGAGGCGAGUGGAAUUCCUGGUGUAGCGGUGAAAUGCGUAGAUAUCUGGAGGAAUACCGGUGGCGAAGGCGGCGAUCCUGGACCGGCAUUGACGCUGAGGAGCGAAAGC
rnacentral:rRNA from 1 species